rnacentral:rRNA from 1 species
CUUGGUAACUCUAGAGAGUGGGGUACACCUGUUCCCAUCCCGAACACAGAAGUUAAGCCGCUCUUCGCCAAUGAUACUUACACAAUGUUGUAGGAAAAGUAGGGCGUUACCAAGA